CCAAUAGCGUAUAUUAAAGUUGUUGCAGUUAAAAAGCUCGUAGUUGAAUUUCGGGGUUCUACCGUUGGUCGGGCAAUAGUCUGUACUGGCGCGUAGGAUUUCUACCUUCUGGGGAACCAUCAUGUUAUUUAUUUAGCGUGGUGGGAAACCAGGACCUUUACCUUGAAAAAAUUAGAGUGUUCAAAGCAGGCUUACGUCUGAAUACAUUAGCAUGGAAUAAUAAAAUAGGACGGUGGUCCUGUUUUGUUGGUUUCUGAAUCACCGUAAUGAUUAAUAGGGAUAGUUGGGGGCAUUAGUAUUCAAUUGUCAGAGGUGAAAUUCUUGGAUUUAUUGAAGACUAACUUCUGCGAAAGCAUUUGCCAAGGAUGUUUUCAUUAAUCAAGAACGAAAGUUAGGGGAUCGAAGACGAUCAGAUACCGUCGUAGUCUUAACCAUAAACUAUGCCGACUAGGGAUCGGACGAUGUUAAUUUUAUAAUGACGCGUUCGGCACCUUACG
rnacentral:rRNA from 1 species